rnacentral:rRNA from 1 species
AUUGAACGCUGGCGGCAUGCCUUACACAUGCAAGUCGAACGGCAGCACAGGAGCAAUCCUGGUGGCGAGUGGCGAACGGGUGAGUAAUAUAUCGGAACGUGCCCAGUUGUGGGGGAUAGCCCGGCGAAAGCCGGAUUAAUACCGCAUACGACCUGAGGGUGAAAGCGGGGGAUCGCAAGACCUCGCGCAGUUGGAGCGGCCGAUAUCAGAUUAGCAGUUGGUGAGGUAAAGGCUCACCAAGGCGACGAUCUGUAGCUGGUCUGAGAGGACGACCAGCCACACUGGGACUGAGACACGGCCCAGACUCCUACGGGAGGCAGCAGUGGGGAAUUUUGGACAAUGGGCGCAAGCCUGAUCCAGCCAUGCCGCGUGUGGGAAGAAGGCCU